rnacentral:rRNA from 1 species
UACGUAGGGGGCAAGCGUUGUCCGGAUUUAUUGGGCGUAAAGAGCGUGUAGGCGGCCAUACAGGUCAGCUGUGAAAACUCGAGGCUCAACCUCGAGACGUCGGUUGAAAACCGUAAAGCUAGAGUCCGGAAGAGGAGAGUGGAAUUCCUGGUGUAGCGGUGAAAAUGCGCAGAUAUCAGGAAGAACACCCCUGGCGAAAGGCAGCUCUCUGGGGUCCCCUACCGAGCUGGGGGGUGCAAAAAGCUGGGGG